AAAGUUAGAGGUUCGAAGGCGAUCAGAUACCGCCCUAGUUCUAACCAUAAACGAUGCCAGCCAGCGAUCCGGCUGUGUUCCUCAAAUGACACGCCGGGCAGCUUCCGGGAAACCAAAGCUUUUGGGUUCCGGGGGAAGUAUGGUUGCAAAGCUGAAACUUAAAGGAAUUGACGGAAGGGCACCACCAGGAAUGGAGCCUGCGGCUUAAUUUGACUCAACACGGGAAAACUUACCCGGCCCGGACACAGGAAGGAUUGACAGAUUAAGAGCUCUUUCUUGAUUCUGUGGGUGGUGGUGCAUGGCCGUUCUUAGUUGGUGGAGCGAUUUGUCUGGUUAAUUCCGAUAACGAACGAGACUCUAGCCUACUAAAUAGACGUUCCGAUCAUCUGAGUCGGACGUUCUUCUUAGAGGGACAAGCGGCGUUUAGCCGCACGAGACAGAGCAAUAACAGGUCUGUGAUGCCCUUAGAUGUCCGGGGCCGCACGCGCGCUACAUUGAAGGAAUCAGCGUGUGCUUUCCCUGUCCGACAGGACUGGGUAACCCGUUGAACCUCCUUCGUGCUGGGGAUAGGGGCUUGUAAUUGUCCCCCUUGAACGAGGAAUUCCCAGUAAGCACGAGUCAUAAGCUCGUGUUGAUUACGUCCCUGCCCUUUGUACACACCGCCCGUCGCUACUACCGAUUGAAUGAUUUAGUGAGGUCUUCGGACUGGCGCUCGGAGCGGCCUUCGGGUCGCGCCGGCGUGCCGGAAAGAUGACCAAACUUGAUCAUU
rnacentral:rRNA from 1 species